rnacentral:rRNA from 1 species
UCCACGCCGUAAACGAUGUCUACUAGCUGUUCGUGGUCUUGUACUGUGAGUAGCGCAGCUAACGCACUAAGUAGACCGCCUGGGGAGUACGGUCGCAAGAUUAAAACUCAAAUGAAUUGACGGGGGCCCGCACAAGCGGUGGAGCAUGUGGUUUAAUUCGACGCAACGCGAAGAACCUUACCUACUCUUGACAUCUAGCGAAGAUUGUAGAGAUACGAUUGUGCCUUCGGGAACGCUAAGACAGGUGCUGCAUGGCUGUCGUCAGCUCGUGUUGUGAAAUGUUGGGUUAAGUCCCGCAACGAGCGCAACCCUUAUCCUUAGUUGCCAGCACGUAAUGGUGGGAACUCUAGGGAGACUGCCGGUGAUAAACCGGAGGAAGGUGGGGACGACGUCAAGUCAUCAUGGCCCUUACGAGUAGGGCU